rnacentral:rRNA from 1 species
AGGACGAACGCUGGCGGCGUGCUUAACACAUGCAAGUCGAGCGGAAAGGCCCUUCGGGGUACUCGAGCGGCGAACGGGUGAGUAACACGUGAGCAACCUGCCCUUAGCUCCGGGAUAGCUCCGGGAAACCGGAAUUAAAUACCGGAUACGACCACGGCUGACAUCGGCUGUGGUGGAAAGGAUUUCCGGCUAAGGAUGGGCUCGCGGCCUAUCAGCUAGUUGGUGGGGCAAUGGCCCACCAAGGCGACGACGGGUA